GACGAACGCUGGCGGCGUGCUUAACACAUGCAAGUCGAACGAUGAAGCCGGAGCUUGCUCUGGUGAAUUAGUGGCGAACGGGUGAGUAACACGUGAGUAACCUGCCCUUGACUCUGGGACAACUGCUAGAAAUGGUAGCUAAUACCGGAUACGACCCUCGGCGGCAUCGCCAGGGGGUGGAAAGAAUUUCGGUCAAGGAUGGACUCGCGGCCUAUCAGCUAGUUGGUGAGGUAACGGCUCACCAAGGCGACGACGGGUAGCCGGCCUGAGAGGGGGACCGGCCACACUGGGACUGAGACACGGCCCAGACUCCUACGGGAGGCAGCAGUGGGGAAUAUUGCACAAUGGGCGCAAGCCUGAUGCAGCAACGCCGCGUGAGGGAUGACGGCCUUCGGGUUGUAAACCUCUUUUAGUAGGGAAGAAGCGAAAGUGACGGUACCUGCAGAAAAAGCACCGGCUAACUACGUGCCAGCCGCCGCAGUAA
rnacentral:rRNA from 1 species